AGGAAGGAAAUAUUUUGCGUCCGGAAUCCAAGUUCUUCCCAAUUCCCAUCUCUCCGCUAAUAAUUGGAUCCCCCGGGUCCCACCCCUCUCCUUUCUUCCCUUCCUCGCAACGCGUACGACUUGACUCCUCUCGUUGUUCCCGGCAGAUCGAAAAAGCCUAAAAACUACGGCUCCACAAAGGGAGAGAAACGGAGAUCGCCCGCUUAUCGGAGCUCCGUUUAUAUUAAGUUAACAUGGGCGGCGACGUGGUCGAGGAAUCCGCGGACCCGGCGCCCGCCGGUGGCCCGCGGGCUUCUUCUUCGCGGCCGAAGCUGACCAUCCUCCCCCUUAUCGCCCUCAUCUUCUUCGACGUCUCCGGCGGCCCAUUCGGGGUGGAGGACUCCGUCGGCGCUGGCGGCGGCCCGCUCCUCUCUCUCCUCGGCUUCCUCCUCUUCCCCCUCCUGUGGUCCGUCCCGGAGGCGCUCGUCACCGCGGAGCUUGCCGCUGGCUUCCCGGCGAACGGCGGCUACGUCCUCUGGAUCUCCUCCGCCUUCGGCCCCUUCUGGGGCUUCCAGGAGGGCCUCUGGAAGUGGGCCAGCGGCAACCUCGACAACGCCCUCUACCCCGUCCUCUUCCUCGACUACCUCCGCCCCUCCCUCUCCCCCGCCACCCGCGCCGCCGCCCUCGCCGCCAUCACCGCCGCCCUCACCUUCCUCAACUACCGCGGCCUCCACAUCGUCGGCCUCUCCGCCAUCCUCCUGGCCGCCUUCUCCCUCUCCCCAUUCCUUGCCCUCGCCCUCCUCGCCCUCCCCAAGAUCCAGCCUCGCCGCUGGCUCGCCUUCGAUCCCCGCCGCGUCAACUGGCGCGGCUACUUCAACAGCAUGUUCUGGAAUCUCAAUUACUGGGACAAGGCCAGCACGCUCGCCGGCGAGGUCGAGGACCCCACCCGGACCUUCCCCCGGGCGCUCUACGGCGCGGUGGUCCUCGUCGUGGCCUCCUAUUUGAUCCCCUUGCUCGCCGGCACCGGGGCGAUGGAUGGGUCGAGGACAGGAGAGUGGACGGAUGGCUACUUUGCUCAGGUCGGGAUGGUGAUUGGGGGACCCUGGCUCAGAUGGUGGAUCCAGGCUGCCGCGGCGAUGUCCAACAUGGGAUUGUUUCAGGCUGAGAUGAGUAGUGAUUCGUUUCAAUUGCUCGGAAUGAGUGAGAUGGGGAUGCUUCCGGCGUUCUUCGCUAUCAGGACAUUUAUUGUAAGCGGAAGUGUAAUGCUAUUCGGAGCUCUUCUAUAUCCUGCUAUUGAAUACAUGAAGAGAAGAAAUUGGGUUAAAUUUAUUUCCACAUCUGUGCAUUCUCAGAGUAGUUUUGAAUCUGCCCAAACACAACAGCAAGCUGUAGAUGAGGCUUCUGUGAAUCUUUUGCCAGAUUGUUCAUCUGGCAAAAGCCGCAAAACAGAGGAAGAAGACCCUGAAAUUGACUUGGAAGGGGUUUCAAAAGUAGAAUAGUAAAGCCAUGUACACUUCGUACACCAUGUAUCUUUGCAGAAUUGAUGAUACUUAAGCCUGUAAGGUCUGGUAGAUGCUAGGUUCAGUAUUUGAAGGACUCGAACCACAAGAGAUAACUCCUGGUCUGAGGCUUGGUUUCAGUGAAACGACUCUGUGGCAGUUCAUUUAACUUGGCCAACAAACAUUUCAUGCCCCUGUGGGCUGGCAUUUAUCAAAGAAAUGGGCGGCCAAGGAACCUUGGUGUAAUUUGUGAUCACAGAGAUGAUUAUGAUAUUUACUUAUCAAGAACUAUUUGUUGGGAUGCAAUACCGUUUGAAGAAAUAUUUUUUUCCUUUUCAUUUGUUAUUGUGUUUCCUGUCCUUAAUAUUGAAUGAAUGCAUGGGACCUACAUGAGAGAAUUCAUGUGAUGUUUGUGGGAAGUUCAUGAAAGAUGGAAGUAUGGAGAUUUAGUGUAC